rnacentral:lncRNA from 1 species
GUGCUCAACGUAUUUGUAAAUCGAUCCAGCAGCUGUAGCGACACUUUUAAAUGUAGGUAUAGGUUAAAAAAAGUAUUGUUGGCUAAAUUACCGACACUUUUAAAAAGUGUUGCUAUAUGUGGGGUCGCUAGGUAUAUAGUGAUAGUUAAAGAGUGUCACUGUAACCUAAAAAAGUGCUAGUAAUUAGCAAUACUUAUUUAAGCAUCUAGUAGCCGCCGGAACUCUACCUCGUUGGCUGCUGUGGCGGAGGAGGACGAGAGGGAAGGGCUACUCGUCUAGGAUUUCAGUGGAUUGAGUGAAGGGAGAAAGGGAGAUGGUAAUUAAUUUUUCUUUUUUUUUUUUCUUUUUUGUUUGGAAUCGCGCCAAAUGGGCUGGGUUGGGUGGGUUGAGUAUAGUAACCUUUUAUUUUUUGUUGGAUUCGCUUUAUAUUUAGGCAUUAUAAGAUGUUUUUUUAAAUUUUAACAUAAAUGGGACACUUAGACAAAAAUGUCCUAAGUAUGUGUCCCUAUAACCUAAUUCUGUUGUAGUGUGGUGACAUUACGCUAUUUCUAUUGGUUAUUCAAUUCGCAUAUGACAUGGUAGA